GACCCUGCUGAUUUGCAUGUAACAGGAGACCAUCCUGCUGUCCUGGGAUCUUCUUAAUAGGCUGGUCACACCCUGUGCAGGAGUCAGUCCCAUUCAGGACACAGCACAGACAUGAGGGCUCCUGCUCAUCUCCUGGGGCUGCUGUUGCUCUGGAUCUCAGGUUCCAGAUGUGACAUUCAGAUGAUUCAGUCUCCAGCCUCCCUUUCUGCAUCUCUGGGAGACAUUGUCACCAUCACAUGCCAGGCCAGUCAGAAUAUUGGUGCUUGGUUAGCGUGGUAUCAGCAGAAACCAGGGAAAGCUCCUAAGUUGCUGAUCUAUUCUGCAAGCAGCUUGGCAAAUGGGAUCCCAUCCAGGUUCAGUGGCCGUGGAUCUGGCACACAGUUUUCUCUCAAGAUCAACAGUCUGCAGUCUGAAGAUUUUGCAACUUAUUACUGUCAACAGGGUAGCACUUUACCUCCCACAGUGAUUCAAGUCAUUGCAUAA